rnacentral:rRNA from 1 species
AGGGAAGAAAAGGACAGGGUUAAUACCCCUGUCUGAUGACGGUACCUGAAGAAUAAGCACCGGCUAACUACGUGCCAGCAGCCGCGGUAAUACGUAGGGUGCGAGCGUUAAUCGGAAUUACUGGGCGUAAAGCGGGCGCAGACGGUUACUUAAGCAGGAUGUGAAAUCCCCGGGCUCAACCUGGGAACUGCGUUCUGAACUGGGUGACUAGAGUGUGUCAGAGGGAGGUAGAAUUCCACGUGUAGCAGUGAAAUGCGUAGAGAUGUGGAGGAAUACCGAUGGCGAAGGCAGCCUCCUGGGAUAACACUGACGUUCAUGCCCGAAAGCGUGGGUAGCAAACAGGAUUAGAUACCCUGGUAGUCCACGCCCUAAACGAUGUCGAUUAGCUGUUGGGCAGCUUGACUGCUUAGUAGCGAAGCUAACGCGUGAAAUCGACCGCCUGGGGAGUACGGUCGCAAGAUUAAAACUCAAAGGAAUUGACGGGGACCCGCACAAGCGGUGGAUGAUGUGGAUUAAUUCGAUGCAACGCGAAGAACCUUACCUGGUCUUGACAUGUACGGAACCCUUCAGAGACGGAGGGGUGCCUUCGGGAGCCGUAACACAGGUGCUGCAUGGCUGUCGUCAGCUCGUGUCGUGAGAUGUUGGGUUAAGUCCCGCAACGAGCGCAACCCUUGUCAUUAGUUGCCAUCAUUAAGUUGGGCACUCUAAUGAGACUGCCGGUGACAAGCCGGAGGAAGGUGGGGAUGACGUCAAGUCCUCAUGGCCCUUAUGACCAGGGCUUCACACGUCAUACAAUGGUCGGUACAGAGGGUAGCCAAGCCGCGAGGUGGAGCCAAUCUCACAAAACCGAUCGUAGUCCGGAUUGCACUCUGCAACUCGAGUGCAUGAAGUCGGAAUCGCUAGUAAUCGCAGGUCAGCAUACUGCGGUGAAUACGUUCCCGGGUCUUGUACACACCGCCCGUCACACCAUGGGAGUGGGGGAUACCAGAAGUAGGU